AUUGAACGCUGGCGGCAUGCUUUACACAUGCAAGUCGAACGGCAGCGCGGGCUUCGGCCUGGCGGCGAGUGGCGAACGGGUGAGUAAUACAUCGGAACGUGCCCAGUAGUGGGGGAUAGCUCGGCGAAAGCCGGAUUAAUACCGCAUACGACCUGAGGGUGAAAGCGGGGGAUCUUCGGACCUCGCGCUAUUGGAGCGGCCGAUGGCGGAUUAGCUAGUUGGUGGGGUAAAGGCCUACCAAGGCGACGAUCUGUAGCUGGUCUGAGAGGACGACCAGCCACACUGGAACUGAGACACGGCCCAGACUCCUACGGGAGGCAGCAGUGGGGAAUUUUGGGCAAUGGGCGAAAGCCUGAUCCAGCAAUGCCGCGUGUGUGAUGAAGGCCUUCGGGUUGUAAAGCACUUUUGGCGGGAACGAAAAGGACUGUGCCAAUACCACGGUUCGAUGACGGUACCCGCAGAAUAAGCACCGGCUAACUACGUG
rnacentral:rRNA from 1 species